CUCCAGGGGUAGCGGUAAAAUGCUGUAAUCCUUGAGGAGCGCCUGUGGUGAAAGCGCCCGGCUGGAACGGCUCCGACGGUGAGGGACGAAAGCCUGGGUAGCGAAGGGGAUUAGAUACCCCCGUAGUCCAGGCUGUUAACAUUGCCCGUUUGGUGUAGCAUCUCCUACGAGGAGGUGCUGUGCCGCAGCGCAGGUAUUAAGCGGGCCGCCUGGGGAGUACGUCUGCAAGGAUGAAACUUAAGGGAAUUGGCGGGGAAGCACCACAAGCGGUGGAGGCUGCGGUUUAAUUGGAUUCGACGCCAGAAACGUUACCAGCAUUGACAGCAUGAUGACGGUCCGCCUGAAGGGCGUACCUGAAGCGCUGAGAGGAGGUGCAUGGCCAUCGUCAGCUCGUACUGUGAAGCGUCCGGUUAAGUCCGGUAACGAGCAAGACCCGUGUCCUUAGUUGCUAUCUCGUUCUCCGGAACGGGAGCACUCUAAGGAGACUGCCCUCGACAAGAGGGAUGAAGGAACGGACGACGGUAGGUCAGUAUGCCCCGAAUGUGCUGGGCUACACGCGGCCUACAAUGGCUGGGACAAUAGGUUGCGACUCCGAAAGGAGAAGCCAAUCCCUAAACCCAGUCCAAGUUCGGGUCGAGGCUUGAAACUCAGUCUCGUGAAGCCGGAAUCGNGUAGUAAGCGAAGGUC
rnacentral:rRNA from 1 species